rnacentral:SRP_RNA from 1 species
GCCAGGCACGGCGGCGUGUGCCUGUAAUCCCAGCUACUCGGGAGGCUGAGGCAGGAGAAUCACUUGAACCCAGGAAGCAGAGGUUGCAGUGAGGCCAGACCGUGUCAUUGCACUCCAGCCUGGGCAACAGAGUGAGACUCUGUCUCAA